rnacentral:lncRNA from 1 species
GCUCACUACCUUGGAAGCAAUCCAGUCCCUCCUUGCAGAUCUUCAUCCCCUGAUGUAGGACCAGUUCCUCUUUUGUUCCUUCAGCCCUAGGGCUUCGUGUGUGGAGGAACUGUGGUCAGCCAACUUCCUGUUCCUGCCCCCAUGCUUCCCCUGCCUGUUGCUGUGCCUGCUCUAUCAUGAUGAACUCUAUCUCUCUGGAAUGAUGUGGAUUAAGUCCUUGGCUCUACUCUGAGAACAGCCAUAAAAGUUCUUGGCUGCUUCAAGAAACAAUAUCAAUGACCUCUCAUUACCUUCUGCAUUAAACACAAGCCAAUGUUGACUGCAUAGAGACCUAAUAGAAGCCAGAAGUAUCUGGCUUAUUAUAUGCUACUAAAUAUAUUUUCAGCUUCUGCUCACCUGACUCUGCAUUCUGGGGAUUCUGAACUUG